rnacentral:miRNA from 1 species
UAGCUUGGUGUGAGGUCAACUU